AUUCUGAGUCAACUUUCAUUUGCAUUGACUUGGUAUUACUUGGCUGGCUCAUGUCAACAGAACUCAGCUGUCAUUCGGUUUUCUACUUGAAUAUCCAGGGCUGAGGCACAACACGUCACAUGACUUGAGGAAGAAGAGGCUCUCAUUUCAGCUCAUAAAAAAAAUCUAGAUAGAAGAGGCUUGCCCCAAUUGCUUUUGUACUUAAGCUGGUUUUGCAAUAUUGAGUGCCGGAUAUCAGCAACACCAAUCUGUAUAUUCUUUUUAGUGCAUUUGGGAUAAUUUUAAUUAUGCAAUUACAUAUUACCAUAAGGUACACUUACAAGUUGGGGCAUAGGUUAUUGAAUGGUUCGUACAUUUGGAGUCAGACAUAUCACUUCAAAGCAUCCCCUUAUCCUGGACAGGAUUCUUUAUAACGUGUAGUAAAUUUUCGUGACAUGGGAAAGAGAGACUUGGCGAAUAAGGGGAAUUCUACGAG